rnacentral:rRNA from 1 species
GAAUAUUGGUUAAUGUGCGAAAGCGCGAACCAGCAACGCCGCGUGUGUGAUGAAGGCCUUUGGGUCGUAAAGCACUUUUUGCAGGGAAGAGGAAGGACGGUAUCUGCAGAAUAAGUCUUUGCUAACUACGUGCCAGCAGCCGCGGUAAAACGUAGGAGACGAGCGUUAUCCGGAUUUAUUGGGCGUAAAGCGUGUGCAGGAGGCACGGCAAGUUGGAUGUGAAAGC